CUGGAUGCUCUGGUUUUCUCCCACCCCUCAAAGAUGUGCAUGUUGAGUUCACCGGCGUGUCUACAUGGUCCUGGUGUGAGUGUGGGGUGUGUGUGAGUGCGCCCUGCGAUGUGACAGUGUCCUGUUCAGGGCUCGUUCUUACCUUAAGCCCUGAGCUGCUGGAAUGAGCUACAGCAACCGGAGACUGGAGACUCUGGCAACCUGGAAAACUGUUAUUAUUGACAUCAGCCCAAGAAGAAUGCAAUGUCCAGGAAGCUAUCAAAGGAAUAAAACUACAUGAGCACAUACUUCUCUUCCAAUUCAAGAGUGGCCCGCCUUAUCCCUUCACAGGCUGACUUCUCAUCUUACUGUGGCAGCCUCUGCUGCUGUUACCUGCUUGAGGCUUUCUUAUUGUGGGCCUCCCACUCGUGUUUCCGAUUGAGGAAGCCUUCCAUCUGGGCCGAAGGUGUCUCCUGGGUUCUGGCUGGGACAGCGGAGAGGCCAUUCAGCUAACUCCGUGAACCAUGGGGGUGACCACAUACGCUCUACCUGACUCGCACAUGUGGCUGUGUAUAAAUGCCUGGCACAGAUCGAGGCAGUA